rnacentral:tRNA from 2 species
GAUGAGGUGGCUGAGUGGUUAAGGUGAUAGACUGCUAAUCGAUUGUGGUCUGCAUGAAUGGGUUUGAAUCCCAUCCUCAUUG